rnacentral:lncRNA from 1 species
AUGUGCACACGUUACUUUCUGUCCAAACCAUAUUCCCUUUGCGUCUCUCGUGUUUGCCAGAUGCCAGCUUUCCAAUUGGGACCAAAAAAAAAAAUAGUGUGGGUGGCAGCCUACUUUUGCAUAUAUGCAGCCAGGACCAAGGAAGGCAGAGACAAGGGACCUUAUUCUGAGAAAUAUGGAGCACAAAAUAAUGCACAGAGCAAUCGUAGAGUGGCACCAAGGCUUGAUGGACGUCUACGCAGAGGCACUGAGACCUGAGGAAGCAAGGCCCCCGGAAGAGAGGAGCAGGCUCAGGACUGCCACAUGUGGAGCUAGGUCGCCAGCCCACCCCUGGAGACGAAUGAGGAAAAAGCUGCUGAAGCCUCUCAGCUGGCAAAGCCUGCGAAGGUAUUCUGCACAACACAAAGCAUUAUUCAUAAAGGCAUAUGUGGCUGAUAGUCCUCUACGGGAUAUUUGGAUGUCUCCCAUAAUUACUUCACUUCUCAAGCAAAUUACAAAGUGUCAUUGGAAUGGGUAAAUUCCAUGGAAAAGGCUCCCAAAUAAGAGACUGAGAACAACCACAAAACGCUGACAAAAACUGCACAAAAGUAGUGCCUUUUCUCUUCCAGAAUAAACGCCACUCUGCUAAGGAAAAAAGGAAGAAA